CAGAUUUUAUUAGGUUGGAUGCUUAAAUUAAAAAAAUAAGUUACGAUACCCGACGCAGUUCUAGAAACAACGACAAUUCUCACUAUAAUUUGAAAUUGCGGCAGUUUGGAACGACAAAAUUGAACAAUCAAAAUGGGAAGAAGAAUGAAAAAGAAACAAGAAUUGAUCAAUAGGGAAGAAUAAAGAAGAAGAAAUUUGAAUGAAUGAAAUGUUUUUGUUCUCACGUUCGGGGUUCU
rnacentral:lncRNA from 1 species